GCCCGUGUAGCUCAGUGGUUUAGAGUGGCUCCCUCCUAUUGAUUGUGAGUGAUUGAAUCAUCAGUUGCUCACAGGCGGAGGACAUUCACAACAGAGUCAAGGAGAUGGUCCUGGGUUCGAAUCCCAGCUCGGGCU